GGUAUGGCUCAGUGGUAGAGCAUGUGCUUAGCAUGAAGUCUUGGGUUCAAUCCCCGGUACC
rnacentral:tRNA from 1 species